CAGUCGCCACGGUAAUACGUAGGGGGCGAGCGUUGUCCGAAGUUACUGGGCGUAAAGCGCGCGUAGGCGGCUUCUUAAGUCUGAGGUGAAAGGUUCAACGCUUAACGUGAACAGUGCCUUGGAUACUGGGGAGCUUGAGUAUGGGAGAGGGCAGUGGAAUGGCUGGUGUAGCGGUGAAAUGCGUAGAUAUCGGGAGGAACACCAGUGGCGAAGGCGAUCACCUGGGGUUGUUCUGACGCUGAGGAGCGAAAGCUAGGGGAGCAAACGGGAUUAGAUACCCGAGUAGUCCCUGUCUCUUAUU
rnacentral:rRNA from 1 species